GCUGAGAGGCAGACGGCUUUCACACAACUCAGGGCCAGGAUGCAGCCCUUCCCAGGCCUUGCCUACAGCCCUCUUCGUCCACCGACGCCCCAGGCCAGCAUGGGGGAAGCUUGCCGCUGGUUUCCUGCAGUGUCACUGCAAAGUCCAGUCCAAGGGGCAAAACCAGAGGGACGGAAUAAGCGAAGAUUUCUAGGAAAACCAGCCUUUGAACAGUGAGGGCAGAGUGUUCCUCCGUGGAGUUCCAGCACCUUCUGUUCUCCAUCCAUCCAUAAGUGGAAAGGUCAGGGACCUGGACUUAGGAGGCCAGAGAAUGGGUCUGUUUAUGGGGGUUCUCCAAGCAUCACUGCAAGCAAUCUGUGUGUGCUGGUCCCCAGCUGAGGUCCUCUGCAGAAGUGUCACCUAUUGGCAGCAUGACCAGCAUGACAUAGAGCACUGCAGCCGUCAACAGAGGCUGCCCCAGGUUCUCAGGACAGCUCUUGGCUGGAUGCAGAGAAGCAGCAGAGCCUAACACCCUGUGCCCAAGGAUGC